AGAAGAGAUUAAUCCACAUAAUUGUUUAGCAGGUAACAGGGAGAUUCAAUGACAUGGACUGUUAGAAAUGAACUUUAUCAUAGCUUUUCAGCUUCAAAAAAAUGAUGUUAGUUGAUUUUGUCUUACUUAUGUACAAUAAGUACGUAUAUGCUAUUUUUGUCAAGAUAUGAAUUGUCAACAGCCAGAUCGCAUGGACAGAUAACAGCUGAUACUUAGGUGAUUAGUCCACCUAAACGUUUUAAUAAAGAGGGUUCUG